rnacentral:rRNA from 1 species
AGAGUUUGAUCCUGGCUCAGAUUGAACGCUGGCGGUAUGCUUAACACAUGCAAGUCGAACGGAAACGAAACUAGCUUGCUAGUAGGCGUCGAGUGGCGGACGGGUGAGUAACGCGUAGGAAUCUGCCUGAUAGUGGGGGAUAGCCCGAAGAAAUUCGGAUUAAUACCGCAUAAUCUAUUCGUAGUAAAGUGGGGGACUUUCGAGCCUCACGCUAUCAGAUGAGCCUGCGUAAGAUUAGCUUGUUGGUAGGGUAAAAGCCUACCAAGGCAACGAUCUUUAGCUGGUCUGAGAGGAUGAUCAGCCACAUCGGGACUGAGACACGGCCCGAACUCCUACGGGAGGCAGCAGUGGGGAAUAUUGGACAAUGGGGGCAACCCUGAUCCAGCAAUACCGCGUGUGUGAAGAAGGCCUGAGGGUUGUAAAGCACUUUCAAUUGUGAAGAAAAGUCAACGGUUAUUAACCGUUGACCUUGACGUUAACUUUAGAAGAAGCACCGGCUAACUCCGUGCCAGCAGCCGCGGUAAUACGGAGGGUGCAAGCGUUAAUCGGAAUUACUGGGCGUAAAGCGUGCGUAGGCGGUUUAUUAAGUCAGAUGUGAAAGCCCCGGGCUUAACCUGGGAACUGCAUUUGAAACUGGUCAACUAGAGUAUGGUAGAGGAAAGUGGAAUUUCUGGUGUAGCGGUGAAAUGCGUAGAUAUCAGAAGGAACAUCAAUGGCGAAGGCAGCUUUCUGGACCAAUACUGACGCUGAGGUACGAAAGCGUGGGUAGCAAACAGGAUUAGAUACCCUGGUAGUCCACGCCGUAAACGAUGAUAACUAGCCGUUGGGGGGAUUUACCCCUUAGUGGCGAAGCUAACGCGUUAAGUUAUCCGCCUGGGGAGUACGGCCGCAAGGCUAAAACUCAAAGGAAUUGACGGGGACCCGCACAAGCGGUGGAGCAUGUGGUUUAAUUCGAUGCAACGCGAAGAACCUUACCUGGUCUUGACAUCCUGCGAACUUUCUAGAAAUAGAUUGGUGCCUUCGGGAACGCAGUGACAGGUGCUGCAUGGCUGUCGUCAGCUCGUGUCGUGAGAUGUUGGGUUAAGUCCCGUAACGAGCGCAACCCCUAUCCUUAUUUGCCAGCACAUUAUGGUGGGAACUAUAAGGAGACUGCCGGUGAUAAACCGGAGGAAGGCGGGGACGACGUCAAGUCAUCAUGGCCCUUACGACCAGGGCUACACACGUGCUACAAUGGGAAGGACAAAGAGCCGCGAAGCCGCGAGGUGUAGCUAAUCUCAUAAAUCUUUUCGUAGUCCGGAUUGGAGUCUGCAACUCGACUCCAUGAAGUCGGAAUCGCUAGUAAUCGUAGAUCAGAAUGCUACGGUGAAUACGUUCCCGGGUCUUGUACACACCGCCCGUCAUACCAUGGGAGUGGGUUGCACCAGAAGUGGCUAGUCUAACUUUGUGAGGACGGUCACCACGGUGUGAUUCAUGACUGGGGUAAAGUCGUAACAAGGUAACC